ACAGCCAGGAUGUUGGCUUAGAAGCAGCCAUCAUUUAAAGAAAGCGUAAUAGCUCACUGGUCGAGUCGGCCUGCGCGGAAGAUGUAACGGGGCUAAACCAUGCACCGAAGCUGCGGCAGCGACACUAUGUGUUGUUGGGUAGGGGAGCGUUCUGUAAGCCUGCGAAGGUGACCUGUGAGGGUUGCUGGAGGUAUCAGAAGUGCGAAUGCUGACAUAAGUAACGAUAAAGCGGGUGAAAAGCCCGCUCGCCGGAAGACCAAGGGUUCCUGUCCAACGUUAAUCGGGGCAGGGUGAGUCGACCCCUAAGGCGAGGCCGAAAGGCGUAGUCGAUGGGAAACAGGUUAAUAUUCCUGUACUUGGUGUUACUGCGAAGGGGGGACGGAGAAGGCUAUGUUAGCCGGGCGACGGUUGUCCCGGUUUAAGCAUGUAGGCUGGUUAUCCAGGCAAAUCCGGAUAAUCAAGGCUGAGGUGUGAUGACGAGGCACUACGGUGCUGAAGUAACAAAUGCCCUGCUUCCAGGAAAAGCCUCUAAGCAUCAGGUAACAUCAAAUCGUACCCCAAACCGACACAGGUGGUCAGGUAGAGAAUACCAAGGCGCUUGAGAGAACUCGGGUGAAGGAACUAGGCAAAAUGGUGCCGUAACUUCGGGAGAAGGCACGCUGGUGUGUAGGUGAAGCCCCUGCGGGUGGAGCUGAGACCAGUCGAAGAUACCAGCUGGCUGCAACUGUUUAUUAAAAACACAGCACUGUGCAAACACGAAAGUGGACGUAUACGGUGUGACGCCUGCCCGGUGCCGGAAGGUUAAUUGAUGGGGUUAUCCGUAAGGAGAAGCUCUUGAUCGAAGCCCCGGUAAACGGCGGCCGUAACUAUAACGGUCCUAAGGUAGCGAAAUUCCUUGUCGGGUAAGUUCCGACCUGCACGAAUGGCGUAAUGAUGGCCAGGCUGUCUCCACCCGAGACUCAGUGAAAUUGAACUCGCUGUGAAGAUGCAGUGUACCCGCGGCAAGACGGAAAGACCCCGUGAACCUUUACUAUAGCUUGACACUGAACAUUGAGCCUUGAUGUGUAGGAUAGGUGGGAGGCUUUGAAGCGUGGACGCCAGUCUGCGUGGAGCCAACCUUGAAAUACCACCCUUUAAUGUUUGAUGUUCUAACGUUGGCCCCUUACCGGGGUUGCGGACAGUGUCUGGUGGGUAGUUUGACUGGGGCGGUCUCCUCCCAAAGCGUAACGGAGGAGCACGAAGGUUAGCUAAUCCUGGUCGGACAUCAGGAGGUUAGUGCAAUGGCAUAAGCUAGCUUGACUGCGAGCGUGACGGCGCGAGCAGGUGCGAAAGCAGGUCAUAGUGAUCCGGUGGUUCUGAAUGGAAGGGCCAUCGCUCAACGGAUAAAAGGUACUCCGGGGAUAACAGGCUGAUACCGCCCAAGAGUUCAUAUCGACGGCGGUGUUUGGCACCUCGAUGUCGGCUCAUCACAUCCUGGGGCUGAAGUAGGUCCCAAGGGUAUGGCUGUUCGCCAUUUAAAGUGGUACGCGAGCUGGGUUUAGAACGUCGUGAGACAGUUCGGUCCCUAUCUGCCGUGGGCGCUGGAGAAUUGAGGGGGGCUGCUCCUAGUACGAGAGGACCGGAGUGGACGCAUCACUGGUGUUCGGGUUGUCAUGCCAAUGGCACUGCCCGGUAGCUAAAUGCGGAAGAGAUAAGUGCUGAAAGCAUCUAAGCACGAAACUUGCCCCGAGAUGAGUUCUCCCUGAGACUAUAAGUCUCCUGAAGGAACGUUGAAGACGACGACGUUGAUAGGCCGGGUGUGUAAGCGCAGCGAUGCGUUGAGCUAACCGGUACUAAUGAACCGUGAGGCUUAACCUU
rnacentral:rRNA from 1 species